rnacentral:rRNA from 1 species
UNUGACUUGAGUGCAGAAGGGGAGAGUGGAAUUCCAUGUGUAGCGGUGAAAUGCGUAGAUAUAUGGAGGAACACCAGUGGCGAAAGCGGCUCUCUGGUCUGUCACUGACGCUGAGGCUCGAAAGCGUGGGUAGCGAACAGGAUUAGAUACCCUGGUAGUNCACGCCGUAAACGAUGAGUGCUAGGUGUUAGGCCCUUUCCGGGGCUUAGUGCCGGAGCUAACGCAAUAAGCACUCCGCCUGGGGAGUACGACCGCAAGGUUGAAACUCAAAGGAAUUGACGGGGGCCCGCACAAGCGGUGGAGCAUGUGGUUUAAUUCGAAGCAACGCGAAGAACCUUACCAGGUCUUGACAUCCCGAUGCUAUUCUUAGAGAUAGGAAGUUACUUCGGUACAUCGGAGACAGGUGGUGCAUGGUUGUCGUCAGCUCGUGUCGUGAGAUGUUGGGUUAAGUCCCGCAACGAGCGCAACCCUUAUUGUUAGUUGCCAUCAUUAAGUUGGGCACUCUAGCGAGACUGCCGGUAAUAAACCGGAGGAAGGUGGGGAUGACGUCAAAUCAUCAUGCCCCUUAUGACCUGGGCUACACACGUGCUACAAUGGUCGGUACAACGAGUUGCGAGCCGGUGACGGCAAGCUAAUCUCUGAAAGCCGAUCUCAGUUCGGAUUGGAGGCUGCAACUCGCCUCCAUGAAGUCGGAAUCGCUAGUAAUCGCGGAUCAGCACGCCGCGGUGAAUACGUUCCCGGGCCUUGUGCACACCGCCCGUCACACCACGAGAGUUUGUAACACCCGAAGUCGGUGAGGUAACCUUUC